GAGGUGUAGCGCAGUUUGGUAGCGCACAUGGUUUGGGACCAUGGGGCCUGGGGUUCGAGUCCCUGAUGGCCCACCA
rnacentral:tRNA from 1 species